UACAGAGGGCUCAAGCGUUGUUCGGAUUCAUUGGGCGUAAAGGGUGUGUAGGUGGCGACGUAAGUCGGGUGUGAAAUCUCGGGGCUUAACUCCGAAACUGCAUUCGAUACUGCGGUGCUUGAGGACUGGAGAGGAGACUGGAAUUCAUGGUGUAGCAGUGAAAUGCGUAGAGAUCAUGAGGAAGACCAGUGGCGAAGGCGGGUCUCUGGACAGUUCCUGACACUGAGACACGAAGGCCAGGGGAGCAAACGGG
rnacentral:rRNA from 1 species